GGCGCAUGCGCGGCCCUCUGGGUCCCAGCGAGGGUUGGACCUCGGGUAACGGGACGUCGGGGGCGAGGCGCUGGGGUCCCGGGGACAUCGCGGACUGAGGGGGUCUCGCCCUGCAUGCAGGAAGAGCAUCUACCACAGCUAAUCUCUGCUCUGUGCAAGUGCUCAGAAACCUGACUUCAACCCGCUGAUUGUCUUCUCAACCACUUGAUGCAAGCAAGAGCGAAAUGCUAUAGAGGCUGGAAAUGAGAAAUACAAACCAGAGAUACUCAGCAGGGCAGGCACCACCUGUGGUGCUGCCUAACCCACCGAGUAUCUCUGGCAUUCUCAGUGCGUUGUUGUACAUUAGGGGAGGAAGAAUGACAGGUCAAGGAGGGUCCAUCAAUGGAAGAGAAAUGAGGUCAGGACUGAGAACGUUUGUAUAUGGAGAGCAAUAAUGGCAGGUCAGGCGCUGCCGAUAAAUGAUGGAGCAAAGGGGACAGGUGAGAGUGUGUCUGGAAAUGCUGGCGGGCUGGGGAAAGUCUGGAAAUGGGGGGGAAUUUGUGACGGAUGUGUACACGUGAGAAAGAAACAGUGAGAAGUCAGGGACCACCACCUGCUUCAAGAACAGCUACUUCACUUCAACCAUUCAGUUCUUGGACCAACCGGCAAAACCUUAAUCACUGGAGUUGAGCAACACUAUGACCCCUUUGAUCAUUGACUAUUUUGUUUAUUGACGACAGCUCCACCUUCAAUACAAUAAUAACAAGCAAGCUUGUCACCAAACUCCAAGACCUAGGACUCAACACCUCCCUCUGUAACUAGAUCCUUGACUGUCUAACAAACAGACAAUCAGUGAGGAUAGGCAGCAGUACCUCCAGCAUGAUUAUUCUCAACACUGGUCCACCUCAAGGCUGCGUCCUCAGCCCUCUACUCUACUCCCUAUACACUCAUGACUGUGUGGCCAGAUUCUGCUCUAACUCCAUCUACAAGUUUGCAGAUGAUACCACCGUUGUAGGCCGUAUCUCAAAACAGUAAUGAGUCAGAGUACAGGAAGGAGAUAGAGAGCUUAGUGGAAUGGUGUCAUGACAACAACUUUUCCCUCAGUGUCAACAAAACUAAACAGCUGGUCAUUGACUUCAGAAAAGGGGGCGGUGUACAUGCACCUGUCUACAUCAAUGGUACUGAGGUCGAGAGGGUUGACGGCUUCAAGUUCCUGGGAGUGAACAUCACCAACAACCUGUCCUGGACAAACCACGUGGAUGCCAUGGCCGAGAAAGCUCACCAGCGCCUCUACUUCCUCAGGAGGCUAAAGAAAUUUGGUUUGUCUCCUUUGACUCUCACCAACUUUUACCGAUGCACCAUAGAAAGCAUCCUAUCUGGAUGUAUCACGGCUUGGUAUGCCAACUGCUCUACCCAAGACCGCAAAAAGCUGCAGAGAGUUGUGGACACAGCCCAUCAUGUCACGGACACCAGCCUCCCCUCCUUGGACACUGUCUUUACCUCUCGUUGUCUUGGUGUAGCAGCCAGCAUAAUCAAAGAUCCCACCCACCCGGGACAUUCUCUCUUCUCUACUCUUCCAUCGGGUAGGAGAUACAGGAGCCUGAGGGCAUGUACCACCAGACUUGGCAGCUUCUACCCCACAGUGAUAAGUUCCCUUAUACAAUGAGGUGGACUAUGACCUAUGACCUCACGAUCUACCUUGUUGUGACCUUGCACCUUACUGCACUGCACUUUCUCUGUAGCUGUGACACUUUACUCUGUACUGUUAUUGUUUUUACCUGUACUACAUCAAUGCAUUCUGUACUAACUCAAUGUAAUUGCACUGUGUAAUGAAUUGACCUGUAAGAUCAGUU